rnacentral:rRNA from 1 species
GAUGAACGCUGGCGGCGUGCCUAAUACAUGCAAGUCGAGCGAACAGACGAGGAGCUUGCUCCUCUGACGUUAGCGGCGGACGGGUGAGUAACACGUGGAUAACCUACCUAUAAGACUGGGAUAACUUCGGGAAACCGGAGCUAGUACCGGAUAAUAUAUUGAACCGCAUGGUUCAAUAGUGAAAGACGGUUUUGCUGUCACUUAUAGAUGGAUCCGCGCCGCAUUAGCUAGUUGGUAAGGUAACGGCUUACCAAGGCAACGAUGCGUAGCCGACCUGAGAGGGUGGUCGGCCACACUGGAACUGAGAUACGGUCCAGACUCCUACGGGAGGCAGCAGUAGGGAAUCUUCCGCAAUGGGCGAAAGCCUGACGGAGUAACGCCGCGUGAAUGAUGAAGGUCUUCGGAUCGUAAAACUCUGUUAUUAGGGAAGAACAAAUGUGUAAGUAACUAUGCACGUCUUGACGGUACCUAAUCAGAAAGCCACGGCUAACUACGUG